rnacentral:rRNA from 1 species
AUUGAACGCUGGCGGCAGGCCUAACACAUGCAAGUCGAGCGGCAGCGGGAAAGUAGCUUGCUACUUUUGCCGGCGAGCGGCGGACGGGUGAGUAAUGCCUGGGAAAUUGCCCAGUCGAGGGGGAUAACAGUUGGAAACGACUGCUAAUACCGCAUACGCCCUACGGGGGAAAGCAGGGGACCUUCGGGCCUUGCGCGAUUGGAUAUGCCCAGGUGGGAUUAGCUAGUUGGGGAGGUAAUGGCUCACCAAGGCGACGAUCCCUAGCUGGUCUGAGAGGAUGAUCAGCCACACUGGAACUGAGACACGGUCCAGACUCCUACGGGAGGCAGCAGUGGGGAAUAUUGCACAAUGGGGGAAACCCUGAUGCAGCCAUGCCGCGUGUGUGAAGAAGGUCUUCGGGUUGUAAAGCACUUUCAGCGAGGAGGAAAGGUUGAUGCCUAAUACGUAUCAACUGUGACGUUACUCGCAGAAGAAGCACCGGCUAACUCCGUGCCAGCCGCCGCGGUAAAAC